AGAGCGAACGCUGGCGGCAGGCCUAAUACAUGCAAGUCGAACGGAUCCUUCGGGAUUAGUGGCGGACGGGUGAGUAACACGUGGGAACGUGCCCUUUGGUUCGGAACAACUCAGGGAAACUUGAGCUAAUACCGAAUGUGCCCUUCGGGGGAAAGAUUUAUCGCCAUUGGAGCGGCCCGCGUCUGAUUAGCUAGUUGGUGAGGUAAAGGCUCACCAAGGCGACGAUCAGUAGCUGGUCUGAGAGGAUGAUCAGCCACACUGGGACUGAGACACGGCCCAGACUCCUACGGGAGGCAGCAGUAGGGAAUCUUGCGCAAUGGGGGAAACCCUGACGCAGCCAUGCCGCGUGGAUGAUGAAGGUCUUAGGAUUGUAAAAUCCUUUCAGCGGGGACAUAAUGACGGUACCCGCAGAAGAACGCCCGGCUAACUUCGUGCCAGCAGCCGC
rnacentral:rRNA from 1 species